UACAGAGGGUGCAAGCGUUGUUCGGAAUCAUUGGGCGUAAAGCGCACGUAGGCGGCCUGCUAAGUCGGAUGUGAAAGCCCAGGGCUCAACCCUGGAAGUGCAUUCGAAACUGGCGGGCUUGAAUGUCGGAGAGGGCAGUGGAAUUCCGAGUGUAGAGGUGAAAUUCGUAGAUAUUCGGAGGAACACCAGUGGCGAAGGCGACUGCCUGGACGAACAUUGACGCUGAGGUGCGAAAGCGUGGGGAGCAAACAGG
rnacentral:rRNA from 1 species